UCCAAUUAUUUGAAAUGAUUAGAAGCAGUGUGUUCAAUACUUUUCCCUCACUAUUGAACUUCAAUUGUUUCAAGAAAUUAUUUCAGAUAAGUUUGAAAUUUUAC
rnacentral:pre_miRNA from 1 species